rnacentral:ncRNA from 1 species
UCGAACGCCUCACGAUGUGCGCAGAACAUCGUAAUGAUACAAUUACGUUUCACAAUGUACGGAUUAACAUUGUAGUUACAAUACGCUUCACGAUGUGCGCCCAAACAUCGU